CCUACGGGCGACAGCAGUGAGGAAUAUUGGUCAAUGGACGAGAGCCUGAACCAGCCAAGUAGCGUGAAGGAUGACUGCCCUAUGGGUUGUAAACUUCUUUUAUAUGGGAAUAAAAUGUUCCACGUGUGGGUUUUUGUAUGUACUUUAUGAAUAAGGAUCGGUUAACUCCGUGCCAGCAGCCGCGGUAAUACGGAGGAUCCGAGCGUUAUCCGGAUUUAUUGGGUUUAAAGGGAGCGUAGAUGGGUUGUUAAGUCAGUUGUGAAAGUUUGCGGCUCAACCGUAAAAUUGCAGUUGAAACUGGCAGUCUUGAGUACAGUUGAGGUAGGCGGAAUUCGUGGUGUAGCGGUGAAAUGCUUAGAUAUCACGAAGAACUCCGAUUGCGAAGGCAGCUCACUAAACUGCAACUGACACUGAGGCUCGAAAGUGUGGGUAUCAAACAGGAUUAGAUACCCGAGUAGUC
rnacentral:rRNA from 1 species